AAGAUUUCGCAAUUGAGGAAACUCUGACGCAGCGACGCCGCGUGACCGAUGAACGUCUUCGGAUCGUAAAGCUCUGUCCUUUCGGAAGCAGAUCGUAAGUUCUGACGGUACCCGAGGAGGACGCCCCGGCUAACUACGUGCCAGCAGCCGCGGUAAUCCGUAGGGGGCAAGCGUUAUCCGGAAUUAUUGGGCGUAAAGGGUUCGUAGGCGGCGUUUUAAGUCAGAGGUGAAAGACCACGGCUUAACCGUGGGGUUGCAUUUGAAACUGGGAGGCUUGAGUAUCGGAGAGGGUAGUGGAAUUCCCAGUGUAGCGGUGAAAUGCGUAGAUAUUGGGAGGAACACCAGUGGCGAAGGCGACUAACUGGACGAAAACUGACGCUGAUGCACGAAAGCUAGGGGAGCAAACAG
rnacentral:rRNA from 1 species